rnacentral:rRNA from 1 species
UACGUAGGGGGCAAGCGUUGUUCGGAAUUACUGGGCGUAAAGCGCACGUAGGCGGCUUUGUAAGUUAGAGGUGAAAGCCCGGGGCUCAACUCCGGAAUUGCCUUUAAAACUGCAUCGCUAGAAUUGUGGAGAGGUGAGUGGAAUUCCGAGUGUAGAGGUGAAAUUCGUAGAUAUUCGGAAGAACACCAGUGGCGAAGGCGACUCACUGGACACAUAUUGACGCUGAGGUGCGAAAGCGUGGGGAGCAAACAGG